AACGGUGGAUCGCUUGGCUCGUACGUCGAUGAAAAACGAGGCGAGACUCGAAAGUUUAUGUGAAUUGCAGCCACGUUGAACAUAGAAAUUUUGAACGCACAUUGCGGUGUUGAGUUGACUCGACGCCGCGUCUGUCUGAGGGUCGUUAC
rnacentral:rRNA from 1 species